rnacentral:rRNA from 1 species
GAUGAACGCUGGCGGCGUGCCUAAUACAUGCAAGUCGAGCGAACAGAUGAGGAGCUUGCUCCUCUGACGUUAGCGGCGGACGGGUGAGUAACACGUGGAUAACCUACCUAUAAGACUGGGAUAACUUCGGGAAACCGGAGCUAAUACCGGAUAAUAUAUUGAACCGCAUGGUUCAAUAGUGAAAGACGGUUUUGCUGUCACUUAUAGAUGGAUCCGCGCCGCAUUAGCUAGUUGGUAAGGUAACGGCUUACCAAGGCAACGAUGCGUAGCCGACCUGAGAGGGUGAUCGGCCACACUGGAACUGAGACACGGUCCAGACUCCUACGGGAGGCAGCAGUAGGGAAUCUUCCGCAAUGGGCGAAAGCCUGACGGAGCAACGCCGCGUGAGUGAUGAAGGUCUUCGGAUCGUAAAACUCUGUUAUUGGGGAAGAACAAAUGUGUAAGUAACUAUGCACGUCUUGACGGUACCUAAGCAGAAAGCCACGGCUAACUACGU